rnacentral:misc_RNA from 1 species
UUUCCGUAGGUGAACCUGCGGAAGGAUCAUUAUAGUAUAACCGAGGCAGCAGGCCUGUUGCUGACCCGAACGACCGUGCACGCCCGUGUGCUCUUACACACAACCAUCUCACCCCUAUCUCCACCACCCCGUGCUUGCCCCUUGGGCGUGUUCGGGGGUGGGCUUACGUAUCCACUCAAACCUUGCAUGCACUGUUGAAUUUUUAUUGUGUUUUUGCGUUUACGCACUCAAUACAACUUUCAACAACGGAUCUCUUGGCUCUCGCAUCGACGAAGAACC